ACAGCUCAGUGCUAACUGGGCACCAAGCUCCACCAUAGGAAGGGACAUGGACAGAGAGCACUGCAGGAUCACAGGAAUGCUAGUCUCUGACCAAGGACUUCAGUUAAGGCAUCUGCCCUUCCGGCACCAUUUCCAUUUGGAAAGGGAGGGAUAAGGUUGUAUGCACUCAUGGGGUUCAAAAAGCUUUUGCCAUUUUUGAGGGUCAGUAAGUAUAAAUGUUCCUCUAAGCAGCUGCUGUUUCUCAUUCCUGUUGAGGUCUCUCACAAGGAGGCAGCAUCAGGUUCGAGCAUCACAACUGGCCACAGCCGUACCGGCCUUGAAGAUUUCUAUGGUCUAUUUUGAGCGAUUUUACUGUUCAUGGUCUUGGCAAACUUAUCCACUUUCUGACAAUAUUUAGAGCCUGAUCAUCCCGGUUACCAGGCACAACAGGAGGUGGCAAGAACCUGUAUCUAAAACACUCAAACAACCAUGUCCUGGUGUCUUCCGAUGGGAGUGCAUGUCCGUCAGAGGACAGGUUUGCAGAAACAGUGAUGAUCUCGUUCAUCCAGCCACAGGGGAGUCUGGGCUGCACCCGUGGCAUAGGGGUCGAAUCGGAGCUACAGC